rnacentral:misc_RNA from 1 species
AAGGAUCAUUAGAGAUAUAGCCGGAUCAACCUGUCUAACAGCAGGAGUCUGGAUUUUCUAUAAACCUUUGUGAACCUGUCUCGUCAAGCUCUUUGGGGCUUGGCUGAGCCAUUACAAACAUGUAUAAGUGUAAAUGAACGUAAACAAAACAUAAUAUAAAAUAACUUUCAACAACGGAUCUCUAGGCUCUC